GAUGAACGCUGGCGGCGUGCCUAACACAUGCAAGUCGAGCGUGAUUUAUGAGGACGAAACUUCGGUCUAGGAAUCAUAAUGAAAGCGGCGGACGGGUGAGUAACGCGUAGGCAACCUGCCCUUGACACAGGGAUAGCCUCGGGAAACCGGGAUUAAAACCUGAUGACGCCAAACAGUCACAUGGCUGUUUGGCCAAAGAUUUAUCGGUCAAGGAUGGGCCUGCGUCUGAUUAGUUAGUUGGUGGGGUAACGGCCUACCAAGACGACGAUCAGUAGCCGACCUGAGAGGGUGAUCGGCCACAUUGGAACUGAGACACGGUCCAAACUCCUACGGGAGGCAGCAGUGGGGAAUAUUGCACAAUGGGCGAAAGCCUGAUGCAGCAACGCCGCGUGAGCGCUGAAGGCCUUUGGGUCGUAAAGCUCUGUCCUUGGGGAAGAAACAAAUGACGGUACCCAAGGAGGAAGCCCCGGCUAACUACGUGCCAGCCGCCGCGGUAACAC
rnacentral:rRNA from 1 species